rnacentral:rRNA from 1 species
AUUGAACGCUGGCGGCAUGCCUUACACAUGCAAGUCGAACGGUAACGCGGGGCAACCUGGCGACGAGUGGCGAACGGGUGAGUAAUGCAUCGGAACGUGCCUGGUAGUGGGGGAUAACUGCUCGAAAGAGCAGCUAAUACCGCAUACGACCUGAGGGUGAAAGGGGGGGAUCGCAAGACCUCUCGCUAUCAGAGCGGCCGAUGUCGGAUUAGCUAGUUGGUGGGGUAAAGGCCCACCAAGGCGACGAUCCGUAGCUGGUCUGAGAGGACGACCAGCCACACUGGGACUGAGACACGGCCCAGACUCCUACGGGAGGCAGCAGUGGGGAAUUUUGGACAAUGGACGCAAGUCUGAUCCAGCCAUGCCGCGUGCGGGAAGAAGGCCUUCGGGUUGUAAACCGCUUUUGUCAGGGAAGAAAUCUUCUGAGUUAAUACCUCGGGAGGAUGACGGUACCUGAAGAAUAAGCACCGGCUAACUACGUGCCAGCCGCCGCCGUAAUAC